UCGAUGGGUCAUCGGCCCUUCCCAACCACCGACGACCUUCUCCCGGCCAUCGGCAUGCUGGCGAUAGGCUGGUCUCGUGGGAGAUCCAUUGGGAUGGAGGCCACCCAAAAACGUAGUUUCUUUUCUUUCUCCCUAUUCCCGAUCGCACAUGAUGGGGAGGCGAAAGCCAGAUGGCCCUUCCCCGGCCAUGUGCCGGCUGGCGUUCGUCGUAAAUCCUAAUUGGCAGACACUGCCGUCUCCCUGAGCUUUCACAAUUGGAUGGAGGUGGAGGGGCCACAGUCGGCACUCCUCCCACCAAAUUCGGGCUGGCGGCCAUCGGAAGACCACAAUUGACGGACUGCCGCCCCUUCGCCAGGCCCCACGAACGAUUUGCUGGCGAUUGCUAGGGCAACCGCCGCUGAAGAAGAUCCGACAGCUCCGUCAUCCUUUCUUUUUCAUUUUUUUUAUUGCUUUAAUGGAGGAGAUUUCUCCGACGCCGUGACUUCGUGGGACUCACCGUUGACUUAUCCCCACAGCAGCCGAAGGUCGACCAGAGUCCGGCCACCGUGAUGGGAGGGCGGUCGACCCUCUUCUUCCCUCUCCAUUUGUUUUAUUAAUUUAUUUAAUCAUCAAAACCAUAAUUCCAGACCACAAAUCUUUAUAAUAAAUCAAAAUGAUAAAUACUUUAUGAAAUCUAAGAACAGAUCCAGAUUGUGACAACUCCGGUUGCGGAUAAGCAGUCAUGGUGGCCAGUUGGAUCUACAGUCUAUCUCGAUGGCUGUGGGA
rnacentral:lncRNA from 1 species